rnacentral:rRNA from 1 species
CCUACGGGAGGCAGCAGUCGAGAAUCAUUCACAAUGGGGGAAACCCUGAUGGUGCGACGCCGCGUGGGGGAAUGAAGGUCUUCGGAUUGUAAACCCCUGUCAUGUGGGAGCAAAUUAAAAAGAUAGUACCACAAGAGGAAGAGACGGCUAACUCUGUGCCAGCAGCCGCGGUAAUACAGAGGUCUCAAGCGUUGUUCGGAAUCACUGGGCGUAAAGCGUGCGUAGGCUGUUUCGUAAGUCGUGUGUGAAAGGUGCGGGCUCAACCCGCGGACGGCACAUGAUACUGCGAGACUAGAGUAAUGGAGGGGUAACCGGAAUUCUCGGUGUAGCAGUGAAAUGCGUAGAUAUCGAGAGGAACACUCGUGGCGAAGGCGGGUUCCUGGACAUUAACUGACGCUGAGGCACGAAGGCCAGGGGAGCGAAAGGGAUUAGAUACCCUUGUAGUC